UGGGGAAUUUUGGACAAUGGGCGCAAGCCUGAUCCAGCAAUGCCGCGUGCAGGAUGAAGGCCUUCGGGUUGUAAACUGCUUUUGUACGGAACGAAACGGCCCUCUCUAAUACGGGGGCGGUAUAGACGGUACCGUAAGAAUAAGCACCGGCUAACUACGUGCCAGCAGCCGCGGUAAUACGUAGGGUGCGAGCGUUAAUCGGAAUUACUGGGCGUAAAGCGUGCGCAGGCGGUCUUGUAAGACAGAUGUGAAAUCCCGGCUC
rnacentral:rRNA from 1 species